rnacentral:rRNA from 1 species
AGUGAACGCUGGCGGCAGGCCUAACACAUGCAAGUCGAACGAGUGGCGGACGGGUGAGGAAUACAUCGGAAUCUACUCUGUCGAGGGGGAUAACGAAGGGAAACUUACGCUAAUACCGCAUACGAUCGAAUGAGCCCAUGUCGGAUUAGCUAGUUGGGGGGGUAAAGGCUCACAAAGGCGAAAAUCCGUAGCUGGUCUGAGAGGAUGACCAGCCACACUGGAACGGAGACACGGUCCAGACUCCUACGGGAGGCAGCAGUGGGGAAUAUUGGACAAUGGGCGCAAGCCUGAUCCAGCCAUACCGCGUGUGUGAAGAAGGCCUUCGGGUUGUAAAGCCCUUUUGGUGGGGAAGCGGUACCCAAAGAAUAAGCACCGGCUAACUUCGUGCCAGCAGCCGCGGUAAUAC